UCCCCUCCCUUCCCCGCGCGCGGCGCUCUGGGCUUCGCCUGACAUCUAGCUGCUGCUGGGGCGCCGGCGGCCGCCGCUCACCGGCCCAGCGCAGAGAGAAGGAGCUCGCGGAGAGCGGUGCCAGGGACUCGGAACCCUCCGUGCUGGCAGUGGAGGUCCAGGCCGUGUGAUCGGGUUCUGGCCAACAAAUGGACUGGAAGAAAUGCCACUUCCAGGAGGGGCCCAGAAAAGUCUCCAGCACAGGCUCCUCUGUGCCCUGUCCCUUCCUGCGACCUGACCCCAUGAGGAUAGAGAUGCCGGGGAAGCUGAGUAAGGAAAAUGGCAGAGCCAAGCUGGAAGGAACCUGGGUCCCUGAAUUAUGACUUGUGGGGACACCGCCUGCCUCCUAAGAACACCCACUGUGAACUUAGAGAAACAAGAAAUAAACCUCCCAUGUCUCCAGUAGGGUUGCCAAAUAAAAAAGAAGGCCCCCAGUCUCA